rnacentral:rRNA from 1 species
AAAUUGAAGAGUUUGAUCAUGGCUCAGAUUGAACGCUGGCGGCAGGCCUAACACAUGCAAGUCGAACGGUAACAGGAAGCAGCUUGCUGCUUUGCUGACGAGUGGCGGACGGGUGAGUAAUGUCUGGGAAACUGCCUGAUGGAGGGGGAUAACUACUGGAAACGGUGGCUAAUACCGCAUAACGUCGCAAGACCAAAGAGGGGGACCUUCGGGCCUCUUGCCAUCAGAUGUGCCCAGAUGGGAUUAGCUUGUUGGUGAGGUAACGGCUCACCAAGGCGACGAUCCCUAGCUGGUCUGAGAGGAUGACCAGCCACACUGGAACUGAGACACGGUCCAGACUCCUACGGCUCCUACGGGAGGC